CCAGAGAACUUUCCAGAGAUGGAUUGGUGCCUUCGGGAACUCUGAGACAGGUGCUGCAUGGCUGUCGUCAGCUCGUGUUGUGAAAUGUUGGGUUAAGCCCCGCAACGAGCGCAACCCUUUAUCCUUUGUUGCCAGCGGUUAGGCCGGGAACUCAAAGGAGACUGCCAGUGAUAAACUGGAGGAAGGUGGGGAUGACGUCAAGUCAUCAUGGCCCUUACGAGUAGGGCUACACACGUGCUACAAUGGCGCAUACAAAGAGAAGCGACCUCGCGAGAGCAAGCGGACCUCAUAAAGUGCGUCGUAGUCCGGAUUGGAGUCUGCAACUCGACUCCAUGAAGUCGGAAUCGCUAGUAAUCGUGGAUCAGAAUGCCACGGUGAAUACGUUCCCGGGCCUUGUACACACCGCCCGUCACACCAUGGGAGUGGGUUGCAAAAGAAGUAGGUAGCUUAACCUUCGGGAGGGCGCUUACCACUUUGUGAUUCAUGACUGGGGUGAAGUCGUAACAAGGUAGGCGUAGUGCU
rnacentral:rRNA from 1 species